rnacentral:rRNA from 1 species
GACGAACGCUGGCGGCGUGCCUAAUACAUGCCAGUCGAACGAGAGCGCCCGGUGCUUGCACUGGUCAAUCUAGUGGCGAACGGGUGAGUAACACGUGGGUAACCUGCCCAUCAGAGGGGGAUAACAUCCGGAAACGGAUGCUAAAACCGCAUAGGUCUUCGAACCGCAUGGUUUGAAGAGGAAAAGAGGCGCAAGCUUCUGCUGAUGGAUGGACCCGCGGUGCAUUAGCUAGUUGGUGAGGUAACGGCUCUCCAAGGCCGUGAUGCAUAGCCGACCUGAGAGGGUGAUCGGCCACAUUGGGACUGAGACACGGCCCAAACUCCUACGGGAGGCAGCAGUAGGGAAUCUUCCGCAAUGGACGCAAGUCUGACGGAGCAACGCCGCGUGAGUGAAGAAGGUUUUCGGAUCGUAAAACUCUGUUGUUAGAGAAGAACAAGUGCUAGAGUAACUGUUAGCGCCUUGACGGUAUCUAACCAGAAAGCCACGGCUAACUACGUG